GAUGAACGCUAGCGGUGCGCCUAAUGCAUGCAAGUCGAACGGGAUCCUUUGGACUCGUCUGAAGGUGAGAGUGGCGAACGGGUGAGUAUCGCGUUGGUGACCUGCCCCAGAGAGGGGGACAACCAGUGGAAACGCUGGCUAAUACCCCGGAUGUCUAUGUUUUUAGAAAGCAAAGACUGAAGCUCCGGCGCUCUGGGAGGGGCCUGCGUCCCAUCAGCUAGUUGGUAAGGUAAUGGCUUACCAAGGCAAAGACGGGUAGGGGGCGUGAGAGCGUGACCCCCCACACUGGUACUGAAACACGGACCAGAUACCUACGGGUAGCAGCAGCAAGGAAUAUUGCCCAAUGGACGAAAGUCUGAGGCAGCAACACCGCGUGGAGGACGAAGGCCUUCGGGUUGUAAACUCCUUUUCUAGGGGAAGAGAAAGGACGGUACCCUAGGAAUAAGGCCCGGCUAACUACGUGCCAGCAGCCGCGGUAAAACGUAGGGGUCAAGCGUUAUCCGGAUUUACUGGGCGUAAAGCGCAUGUAGGCGGUUGCUUAAGUCGGACGUGAAAGCUCCUGGCUCAACUAGGAGAGGCCGUUCGAAACUAGGUAACUCGAGGGUGGUAGAGGAGAGUGGAAUUCCCGGUGUAGUGGUGAAAUGCGUAGAUAUCGGGAGGAACACCAGUGGCGAAGGCGGCUCUCUGGGCCAUUCCUGACGCUGAGAUGCGAAAGCUAGGGGAGAGAACGGGAUUAGAAACCCCGGUAUUCCUAGCCGUAAACGAUGUCAACUAGGUGUAGGAGGUAUUGACCCCUUCUGUACUGUAGCUAACGCGUUAAGUUGACCGCCUGGGGACUACGGCCGCAAGGCUAAAACUCAAAGGAAUUGACGGGGACCCGCACAAGCAGCGGAGCGUGUGGUUUAAUUCGAUGCAACCCGAAGAACCUUACCUGGGUUUGACAUCACGGGAAAAGCUGUAGAAAUACAGUGUCCAUUAGGGCCCGUGACAGGUGGUGCAUGGCUGU
rnacentral:rRNA from 1 species